rnacentral:rRNA from 1 species
ACUACGGGUGGCAGCAGUGAGGAAUAUUGGUCAAUGGACGAGAGUCUGAACCAGCCAAGUAGCGUGAAGGAUGACUGCCCUAUGGGUUGUAAACUUCUUUUAUCUGGGAAUAAAACAGGGUAUGCAUACCCUCGUGUAUGUACAAUAUGAAUAAGGAUCGGCUAACUCCGUGCCAGCAGCCGCGGUAAUACGGAGGAUCCGAGCGUUACCCGGAUUUAUUGGGUUUAAAGGGAGCGUAGGUGGAUUGUUAAGUCAGUUGUGAAAGUUUGCGGCUCAACCGUAAAAUUGCAGUUGAAACUGGCAGUCUUGAGUACAGUAGAGGUGGGCGGAAUUCGUGGUGUAGCGGUGAAAUGCUUAGAUAUCACGAAGAACUCCGAUUGCGAAGGCAGCUCACUGGACUGCAACUGACACUGAUGCUCGAAAGUGUGGGUAUCAAACAGGAUUAGAUACCCCAGUAGUC